rnacentral:rRNA from 1 species
GGGAACUGAAACAUCUAAGUACCCCGAGGAAAAGAAAUCAACCGAGAUUCCCCCAGUAGCGGCGAGCGAACGGGGAGGAGCCCAGAGCCUGAAUCAGCAUGUGUGUUAGUGGAAGCGUCUGGAAAGGCGCGCGAUACAGGGUGACAGCCCCGUACACAAAAGCGCAUGUGCUGUGAGCUCGAUGAGUAGGGCGGGACACGUGGUAUCCUGUCUGAAUAUGGGGGGACCAUCCUCCAAGGCUAAAUACUCCUGACUGACCGAUAGUGAACCAGUACCGUGAGGGAAAGGCGAAAAGAACCCCGGCGAGGGGAGUGAAAAAGAACCUGAAACCGUGUACGUACAAGCAGUGGGAGCACCCUUCGGGGUGUGACUGCGUACCUUUUGUAUAAUGGGUCAGCGACUUAUAUUCUGUAGCAAGGUUAACCGUAUAGGGGAGCCGGAGGGAAACCGAGUCUUAAUUGGGCGUUAAGUUGCAGGGUAUAGACCCGAAACCCGGUGAUCUAGCCAUGGGCAGGUUGAAGGUUGGGUAACACUAACUGGAGGACCGAACCGACUAAUGUUGAAAAAUUAGCGGAUGACCUGUGGCU